rnacentral:rRNA from 1 species
GGAGGAGGCAAGGCGUUAUCCGGAAUGAUUGGGCGUAAAGGCGUCCGCAGGUGGCAAUUCAAGUCUGCUGUUAAAGCCGGCAGGGCUUAACUCUGUAAAGGCAGUGGAAACUGAAUAGCUAGAGUGUGGUAGGGGCAGAGGGAAGUUCCCAGUGUAGCGGUGAAAUGACGUAGAGAUUGGAAGAACAUCGGUGGCGAAGGCGCUCUGCUGGACCAUAACUGACACUCACAGGGACGAAAGC